rnacentral:rRNA from 1 species
UACGUAGGGGGCAAGCGUUGUCCGGAAUCAUUGGGCGUAAAGAGCGUGUAGGCGGCCUGGUAAGUCUGGUGUGAAAUCUUGGGGCUCAACCCCAAGCUGUCACUGGAUACUGUCAGGCUUGAGUCCGGAAGAGGAGAGUGGAAUUCCUGGUGUAGCGGUGGAAUGCGCAGAUAUCAGGAGGAACACCUAUGGCGAAGGCAGCUCUCUGGUACGUGACUGACGCUGAGACGCGAAAGCGUGGGUAGCAAACAGG